UACGGAGGAUGCGAGCGUUAUCCGGAUUUAUUGGGUUUAGAGGGUGCGUAGGCGGGAUGCCAAGUCAGCGGUAAAAAUGCGGUGCUCAACGCCGUCGAGCCGUUGAAACUGGCGUUCUUGAGUGGGCGAGAAGUAUGCGGAAUGCGUGGUGUAGCGGUGAAAUGCAUAGAUAUCACGCAGAACUCCGAUUGCGAAGGCAGCAUACCGGCGCCCUACUGACGCUGAGGCACGAAAGCGUGGGUAUCGAACAGG
rnacentral:rRNA from 1 species